CGAGUUGGUCGGGCGGCCGCGGCGAUGGGAACGGGCACUCCGGUGCCGCCGCCCGUCGCCGAGGAAAGUCCGGACUCCACAGAGCAGGGCGGUUGCUAACGGCAACCCGGGGUGACCCGCGGGACAGUGCCACAGAAAACAGACCGCCCGUGUCCCUUCGGGGACGCGCGGUGAGGGUGAAACGGUGCGGUAAGAGCGCACCAGCGCCCCGGGUGACCGGGGCGGCUCGGUAAACCCCGCCCGGAGCAAGGUCGAAGGUCGCACUCCUCGGAGUGCGGCUGCGCAGGCGUUCGAGGGUUGCUCGCCCGAGCCUGCGGGUGGGCCGCUCGAGGCACCCGGCGACGGUGUGCCCAGAUGGAUGGUCGCCGCCCGGUGCGAACCGGGAACAGGAUCCGGCUUACAGACCAACUCGUCCG
rnacentral:RNase_P_RNA from 1 species